AACGAACGCUGGCGGCAGGCUUAACACAUGCAAGUCGAGCGCCCCGCAAGGGGAUCGGCAGACGGGUGAGUAACGCGUGGGAACGUACCUUUUGGUUCGGAACAACUCCGGGAAACUGGAGCUAAUACCGGAUAAGCCCUAACGGGGAAAGAUUUAUCGCCGAAAGAUCGGCCCGCGUCUGAUUAGCUAGUUGGUGAGGUAACGGCUCACCAAGGCGACGAUCAGUAGCUGGUCUGAGAGGAUGAUCAGCCACACUGGGACUGAGACACGGCCCAGACUCCUACGGGAGGCAGCAGUGGGGAAUAUUGGACAAUGGGCGCAAGCCUGAUCCAGCCAUGCCGCGUGAGUGAUGAAGGCCUUAGGGUUGUAAAGCUCUUUUGUCCGGGAAGAUAAUGACUGUACCGGAAGAAUAAGCCCCGGCUAACUUCGUG
rnacentral:rRNA from 1 species